rnacentral:rRNA from 1 species
UGGGGGAUAUUGCACAAUGGGCGAAAGCCUGAUGCAGCGACGCCGCGUGGGGGAUGAAGGCUUUCGGGUUGUAAACCUCUUUCGCUAUCGAACAAGGCCCGCUUAGGGUGGGUUGAGGGUAGGUGGAGAAGAAGCGCCGGCUAACUACGUGCCAGCAGCCGCGGUAAUACGUAGGGCGCGAGCGUUGUCCGGAAUUAUUGGGCGUAAAGGGCUUGUAGGCGGCUUGUUGCGCCUGCUGUGAAAACGCGGGGCUUAACUUCGCGCGUGCAGUGGGUACGGGCAGGCUUGAGUGUGGUAGGGGUGACUGGAAUUCCAGGUGUAGCGGUGGAAUGCGCAGAUAUCUGGAGGAACACCGAUGGCGAAGGCAGGUCACUGGGCCAUUACUGACGCUGAGGAGCGAAAGCUUGGGUAGCGAACAGG